CCCGCUGAACUUAAGCAUAUUGCUCAGCGGAGGAAAAGAAAACAACCGUGAUUCCCCUAGUGAGCGGCGAGCGAACAGGGAUCCAACUCGAUGCCGAAUCGGGCUUUACAGAGCCUUGAGUUGUGGCAUGACUGCCCCGUGACUGGUCAAGGGAGUGGCAAAAUUCAAUGUGCAAAGCAAACCCAUUGUUGAAUGCAACCCUUCAUGUGAGUAUUGAGCCAUAGGAGGUGAAAGCCCAUUCCAGCCACUAAUUGCCCUGAGCCUCAUUGGGUGGUUUCAAGCGAGUAGCACUGCUUGGGAAUGCAGUGUCAAGCGGCAGGUAUGUGUCUGCCAAAGUUAAAUACAAAAUGGGAAGACCGAUAGCAAACAAGUAGCGUGAGCGAAAGUUUGAAAAGCACUUUGGAAAGAGAGUGACAUAGAACCUGAAGUCGUGACAAUGACAAUGAAAGUGCCUCCAUUUUUGUCAAGGCCGGCCCUGCAGCAUUAUCUGGAAUUCCUCCUUCGGGCGCCAACUCCAGGCAAACAAAUGUUGGAAGGGGACCGGAGCAAAGAGCCGAGGUAAAGGGCGGAGUUCUGGCUUGCCAGUGCACCCGUUUCUUCUCGGUAGACUCAGCGACUUGACGCUCUGGAAAUGGGGUACCUUCACCCGUCUUGAAACACGG
rnacentral:rRNA from 1 species